rnacentral:lncRNA from 1 species
AUGACGGAGGUUAUGGCAGGGCAUUUCACCCAUUUAUUCCCCCAGCCGACUGGUUUGUUUCUUCUCUUCCUUCCAACCCCAGAUUUCCCACUCCCUGCCACCCUUUCCCUCAACCCCCUGAAUCCUGUUUACACCCAUGGAGAACAGAUUACCCUGCUCUGCUCAGUUCCUGAUGGGCGGGAAGCGGCAGGAUACACAUUUUACAAGGAGCUACAAGGUCAGGCAUCUGAGGCACUUCCCCGUAAUGAGUUGAUGAUUCCCCAUAAAGCUUUGCGUGUUGGUGAAGAUACGGCCGGGAACUACAGCUGUGCAUAUUCCAUCAGAUUAGAAAAUAAGGAAAUCCAGUCUCCACGUAGCAACAUCAUCUCUGUAGUAAUGGAAGAUUCCUCUCCAUCACCAGGUCCAUCGCUGCUCUAUGCAUGUUUGGCUGUCCCAUUUGUGAUCCUGAUGAUUUCACUCGCUUUUUACUGCAGAUGGAAAAAGACUGGUGCAGUGAAAUGUUGGGGGAAAUCUGAGCUAGAAGAACAGGAGGAGGAGGGACCAGGUGAUCUUGGAACACUGGAGCCCCAGACAACACCCAGUCAGGGCUCAGGUGCCACCUAUGCCCUCCUCCCCUUUUGUUCCACUGCAACUUCCUCAGGACCAGUGAUGGAGAAUGAGCUCCAGCCAGUUGAAGAGGAGGGGCUGUUGUACAGUGAGAUUCUCUUUCCACCAAACAACAGAAGAAGAAAUUGAAGACAAUUGUAGAGGUUUCUGGUCAAGUUGGGUCCUACAUUGCUAGCCAAUUGGUGGAUUGCACUGAGGGAUGACUGACAGGCAUCUUGACUGUCAUAUCAAAUGCCAAUGUUUUGUGUAAACUGUGUCUGGAACUAUGCAAAACUUGCUAAAUUCUCAGGAAUAUCACACCUUGGCCUGCCUGAGCCACAGUAACUCCACCUUAGGUGUGAUAUAGUAAUUUCUGACUGUUUGUAGAGCGGAUGUCCUCCUUCACACCAAAAUUUUUGUUGUUGUUUAGUCGUGUAGUCAUGUCCGACUCUUUGUGACCC